UAGUCUGGGAUACCACUUGGAAACAGGUGCUAAUACCGGAUAAGAAAGCGGAUCGCAUGAUCAGCUUUUAAAAGGCGGCGUAAGCUGUCGCUAUGGGAUGGCCCCGCGGUGCAUUAGCUAGUUGGUAAGGUAAAGGCUUACCAAGGCGAUGAUGCAUAGCCGAGUUGAGAGACUGAUCGGCCACAUUGGGACUGAGACACGGCCCAAACUCCUACGGGAGGCAGCAGA
rnacentral:rRNA from 1 species